rnacentral:lncRNA from 1 species
GAUUCCACAGGAUGCGAGCAUAUGCAGUGGAAACAUUGUGUUAUUCCAUCCUCAGAAGAAAAGAGACAGUAUUAUACUUCGUCUCUUGCUAGUACAGAACUACCACAGAAACAUACCAGGAAAGCUGAGAGAAUCCACAGAUCCUUUGAAGGAAGUGGCUUGCUGUUGCAGGCUCCUUGAGACAGCCAAAAACUGACCUCCAGUACAAUUUUCAGGAGAAGUGGCAAGAAUGGACAUCCACCUCCCACCAUGUGAUGACAUGGUAAGAAGGCCCUUGCCAGAUGCUGGCACAUUGAUACCAAACUUCCCAACCUCCAGAACUGUGAGCCAAUAUAUUUCUAGUCAUUAUAAAUUACCUAGUCUGCAGUUUUGUUAUAGCAGCACAGAACAAAGAAAUACAGAUCCUCCCUGACUUAAUGUUGAGGUUAUGUUCUAAUAAACUCAUUUUAACUUGAAAAUAUUUUAAGUUCAAAAUGCAUUUAAUAGAUCUAAACUACAGAACAUCAUAGCUUAGCCUAUCUUAAACAUGCUCAGAACACUUACA